GUGCUUGAUCAAACACGGCAUUGGACAGCUGAGGAAGCUCCAUCCCAUAUCCAACGGUGGUGGCUCACUUCAAGGUGCCAUCCAACGGCUGAGAAUGCUCCAAACACACAAUUGGAUGGUGGAAGUCAUUGCUAGCUGGGAGGAUUGAACCAAAGCUCUGAAUUUCAUGAUCCAAUGGGCCAAAACGAUGAUUCAGCUUGAUCCAACGAUAGGGAAUGAUGUCGACUUGAUUAAGACCUAUUUUGAGGUGAUUUUGAGAUGUUGGAUGA
rnacentral:lncRNA from 1 species